UACGUAGGGUGCAAGCGUUGUCCGGAUUCAUUGGGCGUAAAGAGCACGCAGGCGGUUUGGCAAGUCGGAUGUGAAAACCCGAAGCUCAACUUCGGGCCUGCAUCCGAAACUGCCCGACUAGAGGUAGGUAGGGGAGAUCGGAAUUCCUGGUGUAGCGGUGAAAUGCGCAGAUAUCGGGAGGAACACCGGUGGCGAAGGCGGUUCUCUGGGC
rnacentral:rRNA from 1 species